AACGAACGCUGGCGGCGCGCCUAACACAUGCAAGUCGAGCGGUAACAGGAAGUGCUUGCACUUUGCUGACGAGCGGCGGACGGGUGAGUAACGCGUAGGAAUUUGCCUGGUAGAGGGGGAUAGCCCGAAGAAAUUCGGAUUAAUACCGCAUACGCCUUAAGGGGGAAAGCAGGGGAUCUUCGGACCUUGCGCUAUCAGAUAAGCCUGCGUUGGAUUAGCUAGAUGGUGAGGUAAAGGCUCACCAUGGCUACGAUCCAUAGCUGUUCUGAGAGGAUGAUCAGCCACACUGGGACUGAGACACGGCCCAGACUCCUACGGGAGGCAGCAGUGGGGAAUAUUGCACAAUGGGCGCAAGCCUGAUGCAGCCAUGCCGCGUGUGUGAAGUAA
rnacentral:rRNA from 1 species